rnacentral:rRNA from 1 species
UCGAGCGGUAGAGAGAAGCUUGCUUCUCUUGAGAGCGGCGGACGGGUGAGUAAUGCCUAGGAAUCUGCCUGGUAGUGGGGGAUAACGUUCGGAAACGGACGCUAAUACCGCAUACGUCCUACGGGAGAAAGCAGGGGACCUUCGGGCCUUGCGCUAUCAGAUGAGCCUAGGUCGGAUUAGCUAGUUGGUGGGGUAAUGGCUCACCAAGGCGACGAUCCGUAACUGGUCUGAGAGGAUGAUCAGUCACACUGGAACUGAGACACGGUCCAGACUCCUACGGGAGGCAGCAGUGGGGAAUAUUGGACAAUGGGCGAAAGCCUGAUCCAGCCAUGCCGCGUGUGUGAAGAAGGUCUUCGGAUUGUAAAGCACUUUAAGUUGGGAGGAAGGGUUGUAGAUUAAUACUCUGCAAUUUUGACGUUACCGACAGAAUAAGCACCGGCUAACUCUGUGCCAGCAGCCGCGGUAAUACAGAGGGUGCAAGCGUUAAUCGGAAUUACUGGGCGUAAAGCGCGCGUAGGUGGUUUGUUAAGUUGGAUGUGAAAUCCCCGGGCUCAACCUGGGAACUGCAUUCAAAACUGACUGACUAGAGUAUGGUAGAGGGUGGUGGAAUUUCCUGUGUAGCGGUGAAAUGCGUAGAUAUAGGAAGGAACACCAGUGGCGAAGGCGACCACCUGGACUAAUACUGACAC